GACGAACGCUGGCGGCGUGCCUAAUACAUGCAAGUCGAACGAAGCUGUUUUAACUGGUGCUUGCACCGACUUAAACAACUGAGUGGCGAACGGGUGAGUAACACGUGGGUAACCUGCCCCAAAGAGGGGGAUAACAUUUGGAAACAGAUGCUAAUACCGCAUAACCACAGAAACCACAUGGUUUCUGUGUCACAGAUGGUUUCGGCUAUCACUUUUGGAUGGACCCGCGGCGUAUUAGCUAGUUGGUAAGGUAAUGGCUUACCAAGGCAAUGAUACGUAGCCGAACUGAGAGGUUGAUCGGCCACAUUGGGACUGAGACACGGCCCAAACUCCUACGGGAGGCAGCAGUAGGGAAUCUUCCACAAUGGACGAAAGUCUGAUGAAGCAACGCCGCGUGAGUGAAGAAGGUUUUCGGAUCGUAAAACUCUGUUAUCAGAGAAGAACGUGUGCGAGAGUAACUGCUCGUGCAGCGACGGUAUCUGGCCAGAAGGCCACGGCUAACUACGUGCCAGCAGCCGCGGUAA
rnacentral:rRNA from 1 species